CCUGCAAUAAACAGGGUAUGAAAUAAGGAGGGUCUGAAUUCCAUCCACGCUGAUGUUGGGCAUUUUCCCGUCAAUAAAACUGUGUCACGUUGGGACUACAGACGCAAAGAACCAAAUUCUGUACUCAUUCCCCUCAGAGGUUGGGAAUCUAAGAGGGAUACAUCCUUCUUUCCAUCUUUUCCCACUCAUUUCUUCUGACCAGUUCCUCACCAGCAAGAUUCUCUUGGAACUCACUUGGAACUCCUCCCAGCUACAUCUGCUUUUCCAGAGUCACAUUUUCUGAGCCAGCUGUGGGGUUUUAAAUUCGUGCAUAACUUCCCUGGUCUAACAUAACUUCCAUCUGAAGAUGGGUUUAUGCUGACGCUACUAUGCUGGAUGUUUCAAAUAUGUCACAGGAUGUUUCAAAAUUCUUUCCUUCCCCUUGCAAACACCCUGUAGUACCACAGACUAAAGCACAGCUCGACGUAUCAGCAGUUUUAAUUACAGCCGAGACACAAUUGCAAUAAGCAGGAGCUCCAGAGAGUAGCUGAAGAAUUACACGGAAGACUAAUGAGCAGGAAGUUUGAAGCCCAUCAAAGCAUGAAUGAAGGUCUGCAACAUACGUGUGGUGCUGCAUAAAGGAGGCUUGGCAGAGCAGGAGACAGGACAUUUAAAAGAUAUACAUCAUGAGUUCAACAUAUGGGACUGCUAAUGACUAGCCUGUGACUGUAUGCUUAGCAUAAAGUAAUGAAUCAAUUAGCACAUGAUAGGAAACCGUAACGAAUAGCAGAACAUAUGAAAGGAUGCAUAUGGGAGUGAUUAGGGGCAGAUGUAACUCAGAGCCUUUGGAGUCAGGAACAGCACUCACAUUUGUUCAGCCACGUGUCUGACAGGAUGCGAGACCUGGCCGAUCUCAUAAUUAACCUUGUAAAAAAAAAAAAAAAAAAAACAAACAAACCAAAAACCCCAACACUACUUUCCGGAUGGAUGAGCUCCCAAAACCAGGUGGGAAUGGCAACAGGCAGCCAAACAGGAGGGCACAACUACCUCUUUCCACCACUAAACCAGUCACCUAACUGCUGGCUGCUUAAUCCCUGCAUACAGCCUCCAGCUCACUCUGCCUUAAGUUUAUGUAUUUAUUCAGAUGGCUAGAUAACAAACCCAACAUUUAACUCCACGCCUGGUCAAGACUGGGGGUGUUCCCUCCAGAGGUGGAACAUGAGCUCUGGAGGAGCCAUUUGAGACCGUGAGAUGAGCAGCCAGCACGACAAGAGAAGCUUAAGGAACAACUAUGCAAAAUAAUGCCAUCAUCACGACGACAGGAACUGAUUGGCAACCACUGAAGCCCUCCACAGAAAGAGCGAGCUUUAUUUGGAAGAAUUCAAUAGCAGAUAAUAUGCCACUAAAUCACAAUGGUAAGCCAAAAAAGUAUAAAUAAGAAGCUGGAAACGACUUGGAUAAGAGAACAAACUGGCUUGGCAACAGCCCUCAGAAGAAGGCCUGAUUCAACUCCUCAGCCAAGAAGCACACACAAUAAAUAUCAAAGCAGGUAGGAUGCAGCAAGAAGCAGUGGCACAGCACGCUCUGAAAUUAUUGGUCCAGUCAUCGGCUUAAUUUCAGAUGAUUCAAAACUGCGAGCUGAGGCUCAGGAUCCUGGAAUCUAGCAGCGUCCAUGCACACUUUACGAAUGCUACAAGCCUAAGUGCUGAGCUCAGUGACAGUCCUGAGCAGCCCGCUUAAAUAAACUCUGACAGGGACAACAGCUUACGGGGUACAAUGACGAGGGAUAAAUUUGGAAUGAAAAAAGAUAAGCUAAAGACAGCAGUAGUUAAAUAUGCGUAUCGGUGUAUGGAAUCAGAUCAUCAGAUUAGAUCCAGAGUUUUGU